rnacentral:ncRNA from 1 species
AAAGUUUUAUUCUUGCUUGUUUAUUCACUUUUUCUUUGUAUUAUAUGCAAGUUUUGUAAUACUAAAUGUUCUUUUUGCAGUGAUUUGCUUUAAUUAUCAAGUUAUUUUGGAAUUAGCAAUUGAUUUAGUAUUGGCAUAUUUCGUGCCAGCAGCCGCGGUUAUACGAUUAAUACAAGUGAAUAUUAUUGGUUAUAACAGUUGUUUGAAUUUUUGAGUUUAAAGUUUAAAUUAUAAGGUGAAAUUUGAUUUUGUUUUAUGACUCUUCUCAUGAUUCUGUGAAACUUAAAAUAUAAACUAGGAUUAGAUACCCUACUAUUUUAAGUGUUAAAUUUUCUUACCUGGGUAUUAAUAGUUAAGGUCUUUAAACCCAAAGAAUUUGGCGGUAUCUCAUUCCAUUCAGAGGAACCUACCCCGUAAUUGAUAAUACACGAUUAACUUUACUUAAUUAAUUUGUUUGUAUAUCUCCGUUAUCAGAAAAUCUUUUUGGAGUUAUAAUUUUCUUAAUCUAUGAUUAUAGAGUAUUUCAGGUCAAGGUGCAGCUAAUAAUUAAGUGGAGGUGGGUUACAAUAAGUUUUUAUUUACUAUGGAUUUGAUAGUGAAAAAUUUUAAUGAAGGUGGAUUUGAUAGUAAUUUGAUUUAACUAAUUUAUUUGAUAUUGGCUCUGAGGUGUGUACACAUCGCCCGUCGCUCUCAUUAUUUAAUGUUUGUAAUUUAUGACUUUAAUUUAGAUGAGAUAAGUCGUAACAUAGUAGAUGUACUGGAAAGUGUAUCUAGUAAGGUAAU